GGUGAGAUUAGAGCCAAGAAAAUAAAAUAUUAAAAAUAAGUAAAAUAAAAAGAAUAAAGAAUAAAGAAUAAAAUAUAAAUAAAAAUAUUUUUUUCUGCAAGAAAAAUAAAGAAUCAGAGAGAAAAGAAGAAGAUAAUGAAGAUGCACUGCUUUAGAGGAAUGUUGUACUGUUUUAAAAAAAAUUAUACUUUUUUGAAUGAAAACUGCAUUCUUUAAAUGAACCUUGCACUUUUAGGACGAAAAUUAUACUGUUUCUCCUCCUCCACACGAAAAUGAAGAGAAAUGAGGAGGGAGAAGAGAAGAAAUAGUGUAAUUUUCGUCCAAAGAGUGUAACUUUCACUCAAAGAGUGUAAUUUUAUUCAGAAAAGUUUAAUUUGCCUCUCAAAUAGUUUACGUUUUUCUUAAAAUAGUGCAACAUUUUUUCUAAAAUAGUGUAACUUCAUCAUCUUCUUCCUAUCUCUCUUAUUCUUUAUUUUUCUUGUAACUUCUUUUCACCCUAUCUGACCCUCAUUGUAGUGUUCCGGAGGUUUAGAUAGGAUUGGCUACAGUAUUAGUGACUGGUCGACACAUCUGGAGAGUGUCGGACUGAGUCGGAGUUGU
rnacentral:lncRNA from 1 species